AGUGGGAGCGGAAAAGACUUUAGUGUCCGCUGGUGGUCUGUUUAUUUGGUAAUACAGUGGUUUUUAAACACUCCUACCGGGUUUCCGGCGCCAGGACGCACAAAAUACCACAUAGCAACGUGAGAAGCAGGGACAGUAUCUUUUUAAAGAAAGAUAAAAUGUAAACUGAGUGAAACUUGCAAUAGAAUGUAAUCUGUCCCAUGAAAUAAGGGGAGGAACAAGCAGGUACACAGAAUCUCUCAUGGGAACAUAAGGAAUGAGUCAGCAACUUUUGCAAGACCCUUAAACCACUGAUAACAGGGAAAAACACCAUUAAAAUGUGGCCACCAGGGUUUUACCAUAUAAGGCGCCCCGGAAGAUUGUACCCUCGCGAGUAGCCAGCCAAUGGCGAAACGAGAGUAGUUGAGCAGCGGGGGGGAAAAGGGGAUGUGUAAAGACUCUUGUAUACUGAAAAAGAUUGCUCUUUGUUCCUCAGGUGCCUGAGGCACUGAGCCAGCCUUUGCGAACUCUUUUUGUAUUAAAUAAACUGCUUGUACCUACCUGAAUCCUGUCUCACGGAGUUCUGAAUCUCACAAUUGGCGCCCAGUGUGGGGCUCGAGGCAUCAACUGGAGGAGACGAGGAGGAACGAUCCGGAGGCGCCCCGUCGAGUUCGGCGGUCGGUGGUGAGUCUGUCGUCGCCUGCCCGAGCAGAACGAACUGAAAGACAAGGAUCCAGGAGGAUACAAUUCAGAAACAGCGGUUAGAAACUGGCUGUGGAGAAUUUAUUGACCAGGCAACUCUGUGCACAGACCCAGGUCCAAGGGAUUGUUGGUGCAGACCCCACCAUUGGAUUUCUGUGUCCAUCCUUUCAAAGCCAGGGAUUGGAUCCUGGUAAAGGAGGGGAAAGAAGAGAAGUUACAGCCCCAUUGGGGCGGGCCAUACCAAGUACUUUUGACUACAGAAUCGGCAGUCCAAACUAGGGAGAAGGGCUGGACACAUCAUACUCGGGUGAAGGGACCGGUUCCGGAGACAGUGGAGUGGAAACAAUGGUCGAUUGUUCACCCCAUACCAUAUCAUAGAAGCAAUCGGUGCUGGGACCAGGCUGUUGGUGGGCCUUGAUUUCCAGCGACCUAACCAGCCUGGACAUCAGCUCUGCGAAAGAGAUGUGUGGCUCUUCUGGUGAUGUGGGACCUUGGGAAGUGACUGCAGCAUCGGGUGAAGUCGAAUCGACCUUGGACUCAUCUGAGUCCACCCAAUAUGGAGCCGGGACGCUGGAGGAGGAAUCUCCUGGCGACACCGAUCUACCGCUCUCCCUAGAUGGUGCCCGCGGGGCGUCUCUCGGGGCUGUGGAAUGGACACGAUCCUGAGGAGCUGGGGGAGAGGAUCGAUCUCUAGCUGCCAGGUAGUAGCCAAUGGAUUGGUAGUCACCCCAUCUUGGAGCGGAAGAAUACCAGGAGUGGGACCAGUCGUUGAAUCGGGAAUCGGAAGAUCGACUUCUGUGACUUCUCGGGGGAGACAUUCCAGUCUUGGUAUUGAGCUGAACAGGAGGCAUAGGCGUUGGAGUCCUAGCCCUCGGCGGAGAAUCUUGUAUUUCGCCGUUGGAGAUCGAACCGCAAGGAACAACAAGAAGAAACUAAGAGACUAACUGGAACACUGGAGAGUAAUAUGAACGAGGGAAUACUAACUUGGAAGAGAGAAAGAGAACUCGACAAAGCGAAAGGGAACGAGUAACGAUCUAAGCGAGAGUGAAGCGGCACGAGGCACAACAAACGACGGUCGCGAAGGCUGGAAAAUGGCGGACACUCCGCUCCAUAUAUACUGUUGGGGGGAGGGGAGCAGAGUUUUC